rnacentral:snRNA from 1 species
ACCGCACGAAGUAUACGACGAAUCUUGAA